rnacentral:rRNA from 1 species
CUGGCGGUAGGCUUAACACAUGCAAGUCGUGCGAGAAAGUAUCUUCGGAUAUGAGUAGAGCGGCGGACGGGUGAGUAACGCGUAGGAAUCUACCUAGUAGAAGGGGAUAGCCCGGGGAAACUCGGAUUAAUACCGUAUACCUCCUUCGGGAGAAAGAAGGCCUCUCUUUGAAGCUUUCGCUAUUAGAUGAGCCUGCGUAAGAUUAGCUUGUUGGUGAGGUAAAGGCUCACCAAGGCUACGAUCUUUAGCUGGUCUGAGAGGACGAUCAGCCACAUUGGGACUGAGACACGGCCCAGACUCCUACGGGAGGCAGCAGUGGGGAAUAUUGGACAAUGGGCGCAAGCCUGAUCCAGCCAUACCGCGUGUGUGAAGAAGGCCUUCGGGUUGUAAAGCACUUUAAGCAGGGAGAAAAAGUUAUAGGUUAAUACCCUAUGGCCCUGAUGUUACCUGCAGAAUAAGCACCGGCUAAUUCCGUGCCAGCAGCCGCGGUAAUACGGAAGGUGCAAGCGUUAAUCGGAAUUACUGGGCGUAAAGCGCGCGUAGGUGGUUUGUUAAGUUGGAUGUGAAAGCCCUGGGCUCAACCUAGGAACUGCAUCCAAAACUAACUCACUAGAGUACGAUAGAGGGAGGUAGAAUUCAUAGUGUAGCGGUGGAAUGCGUAGAUAUUAUGAAGAAUACCAGUGGCGAAGGCGGCCUCCUGGAUCUGUACUGACACUGAGGUGCGAAAGCGUGGGUAGCGAACAGGAUUAGAUACCCUGGUAGUCCACGCCGUAAACGAUGACAACUAGCUGUUGGGAGACUAUGUCUU